rnacentral:misc_RNA from 1 species
UUUCCGUAGGUGAACCUGCGGAAGGAUCAUUACUGAGUGAGGGCCCUCUGGGUCCAACCUCCCACCCGUGUUUAUUAUACCUUGUUGCUUCGGUGAGCCCGCCUCACGGCCGCCGGGGGGCAUCUGCCCCCGGGCCCGCGCCCACCGAAGACACCUAGAACUCUGUAAGAAGAUUGCAGUCUGAGCAAAAACUAAAUAAGUUAAAACUUUCAACAACGGAUCUCUUGGUUCCG